GGACCUUCUCCUCUUCAAUACUUUCAUCAAGUACAUGUUGUCUUGUUCUUUACCUUCACCAUACUUCCAAUUCUAAAUAGUUUCUUCAUCAUCGAACUCAAUAUUUUCUAAGAAUCUUACUUUUUUGAUAAGAAGAUUAUAUAGUUUGUAGCCAUUUGAAUUUUUUUGAUAGCCAACAAGAACAUAUUUUUCACUUUUAUCUUCUAAUUUUAUUUUUCUUUCUUCGAGCACUUUGCAAUAAGCAAUACUCUUAAAUAUUCUCAAGU
rnacentral:lncRNA from 1 species